rnacentral:rRNA from 1 species
ACAAUGGAGAGUUUGAUCCUGGCUCAGGAUGAACGCUAGCGGCAGGCUUAAUACAUGCAAGUCGGACGGCAGCACGGGUAGCAAUACCUGGUGGCGAGUGGCGCACGGGUGCGUAACGCGUAUGCAACCUACCCUUAACUGAGACAUAACCUGGCGAAAGCUGGGCUAAUAUCUCAUGAGGUUAUAGAGGGGCAUCCUGAUAUAAUCAAAGCAGCGAUGUGGUUAAGGAUGGGCAUGCGUCCCAUUAGCUAGUUGGCGAGGUA